UACAGGGGGUGCAAACGUUGCUCGGAAUUAUUGGGCGUAAAGCGCGCGUAGGCGGCCACUUAAGUCGGAUGUGAAAGCCCCUGGCUCAACUGGGGAAGUGCACCCGAAACUGAAUGGCUUGAGUGCGAAAGAGGGUCGCGGAAUUCCCGGUGUAGAGGUGAAAUUCGUAGAUAUCGGGAGGAACACCGGUGGCGAAGACGGCGACCUGGGUCGACACUGACGCUGAGGCGCGAAAGCGUGGGGAGCAAACGGG
rnacentral:rRNA from 1 species